GAUCCUGACUCAGGAUGAACGCUGGCGGCGUGCCUAAUACAUGCAAGUAGAACGCUGAAGGAAGGAGCUUGCUCUUUCCGGAUGAGUUGCGAACGGGUGAGUAACGCGUAGGUAACCUGCCUGGUAGCGGGGGAUAACUAUUGGAAACGAUAGCUAAUACCGCAUAACAAUAGAUGUUGCAUGACAACUAUUUGAAAGGGGCAAUUGCUCCACUACCAGAUGGACCUGCGUUGUAUUAG
rnacentral:rRNA from 1 species